rnacentral:miRNA from 1 species
UGAAGUGAUCUACAGCCAGAAAUGCA